rnacentral:lncRNA from 1 species
AUUAACCAAAGUGAUAGGUCCAAUAACAUUCUACAUGGAAAUAAAACAACACAUUCCUAAAGUGCAUUACAUGAUAAUAAAUUGCAAAGUCCAAUAGUAAACAAUAUUAUUCAUGAACCAAACAUAGAACUAGUAAUGAAAACUACUGAGUGCAACGAGGCCACUUUCCCUUUCUCUGGGCAUUGGGGUUCUCCUCCAUCGCUGCCUUCGCUCGACGCACGCGCUCAAGCUUCUUCUCCUUCUCCUCCCUGUAUGCAGCAACACGCCUCCUUUCCUCCUCUUCCUUAUGCUCCUUC